GGAGUAACUACUUCGGUAGGUUAUCCUUAUCCCGAGGCGACAGUGCGAAGCGUUUAUUAGAACGAUCUGACGGUAUGGACGAAGGCUAGGGUAGCAAACCGGAUUAGAUACCCGGGUAGUCCUAGCUGUAAACAUUGCCCAUUUGAUGUUGCUUUCCCGUUGAGGGAAGGCAGUGUCGGUGCGAAGGUGUUAAAUGGGCCGCUUGGGAAGUAUGGUCGCAAGACUGAAACUUAAAGGAAUUGGCGGGGGAGCACCGCAACGGGAGGAAUGUGCGGUUUAAUUGGAUUCAACGCCGGAAAACUCACCGGGAACGACCUGUGCAUGAGAGUCAACUUGACGAACUUACUCGAUAGCAGGAGAGGUGGUGCAUGGCCGUCGUCAGCUCGUACCGUAGGGCGUUCACUUAAGUGUGAUAACGAGCGAGACCCACAUCUUUAAUUGCAAAUGUAUAUGGGAAUAUGCAUGCACUUUAGAGAAACCGCCAGCGCUAAGCUGGAGGAAGGAGUGGUCGACGGCAGGUCAGUACGCCCCGAAUUUCCCGGGCUACACGCGCAUUACAAAGAACGGGACAAUAAGUUGCAACCUCGAAAGAGGGAGCCAAUCGCGAUACCCGUCCAUAGUUAGGAUUGAGGGAUGUAACUCGCCC
rnacentral:rRNA from 1 species